UACGGAGGGAACUAGCGUUGUUCGGAAUUACUGGGCGUAAAGCGUGCGUAGGCGGUUAUUCAAGUCAGAGGUGAAAGCCCGGGGCUCAACCCCGGAACUGCCUUUGAAACUAGAUAACUAGGAUCUUGGAGAGGUCAGUGGAAUUCCGAGUGUAGAGGUGAAAUUCGUAGAUAUUCGGAAGAACACCAUUGGCGAAGGCGACUGACUGGACAAGCAUUGACGCUGAGGCACGAAAGCGUGGGGAGCAAACAGG
rnacentral:rRNA from 1 species